rnacentral:rRNA from 1 species
CCUACGGGAGGCAGCAGUGAGGAAUAUUGGUCAAUGGACGAGAGUCUGAACCAGCCAAGUAGCGUGAAGGAUGACUGCCCUAUGGGUUGUAAACUUCUUUUAUAUGGGAAUAAAACGUUCCACGUGUGGGAUUUUGUAUGUACCAUAUGAAUAAGGAUCGGCUAACUCCGUGCCAGCAGCCGCGGUAAUACGGAGGAUCCGAGCGUUAUCCGGAUUUAUUGGGUUUAAAGGGAGCGUAGGUGGAUUGUUAAGUCAGUUGUGAAAGUUUGCGGCUCAACCGUAAAAUUGCAGUUGAUACUGGCAGUCUUGAGUACAGUAGAGGUAGGCGGAAUUCGUGGUGUAGCGGUGAAAUGCUUAGAUAUCACGAAGAACUCCGAUUGCGAAGGCAGUUCACUAGACUGCAACUGACACUGAUGCUCGAAAGUGUGGGUAUCAAACAGGAUUAGAUACCCUUGUAGUC